AUGCAAUUUAAGAAUCUUGAGGGAAAACUCAUUGUGCGAAUACUAGAACAGCGGUCUUCUCAAAAGGACGGAGUUGCUAUGAUGUUGUUGGACAUUAGGCGUCGUUCCAUGGAAGGAGAAAAGAUAACGUCAGAAGUUCUGUUUGCUGUUCUCGAUGGCGCCAGCGAGAAAACUUUGUUACGCUCUGAUAUUCGUAAUUGCAAAGAGGGAGGAAUAUGGGACGUCAGUCCGAGUGACAUCAUAACUAACAUGAACUCAUUGCUUGCGUGUUACAGCUACUUGCUUGAGAAGGCAUUGAUGAACAAAUGGUUACAAUACAAGGCUGCACUAGCAUAUAAAGUUGGGGAAGAUCUUAUUGCCACGGAGAAAAGAAGUAAAAUAUCCAGUAGGGGAAAGAAGGUCAACGACCAAAACAGUCAGGGAGAGCUGGAUAUUUCUGCUCAUUCUACCGAAGAUCAUAGUUCUAAUUCUACUGACCAACAUGAUAGCCCACCUUUAGAAGGCACCAAAGGUCAUAGUUCUAAUUCUACUGGCCAACAUGAUGAUCCACCUUUAGAAGGCACUGGAGACGGUACAAAAGAUGACAGGGUUCAAAGUAGCCAAUCCUUAAAACAUACUGAAGACGACAGCAUUGGCAAUCUGUAUGAUUUGAUUCUUGAAUUCCUUAGGAGCUUUAGGAACAACGACCCCAAAAAGUUCUACAGAGGUGAAAUUGAAACGAUUAAGUAUAUGGGCAAUUUGGAUAUACACAUUCAUUUUCCGCACAUGAAAGAGUAUUCUGCAGAACUUGCUGCAUAUAUUAUUGAUCAUCAUGACAGUGACGGGGUUAAAGUUGAUAUAUCACGUGCUGCUGCUCAAUACCUUGUUGAACAUAACAUUGGAAAACCUGAGGAAGAGAUACGUGAGGGUAUAAAAGUGAUAAUGGUGGAUCUGCCCUCACCAACCAGUAACAUGUCCUUUAAGAAAUAUGCUAGGCUAAACAAGUUGAUAAGGCCUUUUAAACUUCCGAAGAAGUUUCGUCGACUUUUUUCACUUAGAUGGAAAGGAAGAUUGUACUUGAUGACAUAUGCUGGAAGAAGAGCUGCUCGUGGGCUAAUGAACUGCAUCAUUAAGAAGCACAAGGAAAAACUUUGUUGGAGAGGUGAAUGGAAAUUGUCUGACAUGUGCAUCGAAGAUGGAUUGUUUGUUAUUGACACAGAAGCAUUGUAUGUUGCGGAUGUCGAGGGUAUGGCUUGGGAUUAUAAGAAGUACAUUGAGCUUCUGAAUCCUUUCUAUGUCACAGUUGAACAAUCCUCCUCCUCUGGGUCAAAGAAAAAAACAAUCCUCUUCCUCCGGGUCAAAGAAAAAACAAUCCUCCUCCUCCUCGUCAAAAGAAAAACAAUCCUCCAAUAG
rnacentral:rRNA from 1 species